UACGUAGGGUGCAAGCGUUAAUCGGAAUUACUGGGCGUAAAGAGUGUGUAGGCGGCUUUGCAAGUUUGGUGUGAAAUCUCCCGGCUCAACUGGGAGGGUGCGCCGAAUACUGAGGGACUAGAGUACGGGAGAGGAAAGUGGAAUUCCUGGUGUAGCGGUGAAAUGCGUAGAUAUCAGGAGGAACACCGGUGGUGUAGACGGCUUUCUGGACCGUAACUGACGCUGAGACACGAAAGCGUGGGUAGCAAACAGG
rnacentral:rRNA from 1 species